UCUCUCUCUCUCUCUCUUUCUCUCUCUCUCCAGAGUUAUCAGUCUCUCUCCAGUAUCAGUGUAUCUUCAGACUUACCCAGCAUCGUUGUCCGUCCUCUUCAGUACUUUGGAGAUGUGAGUAAGACUGUGUCUGAACUGAGAGAGAAACUAGAAGACUUCCUUAAAGGAGAAUGGACCAAGAUCUCCACUACAGUGAAUAUAGUGGAUGUUGUACUGCCUCCAGAGCCCAAGACCAGAGAACAGUUGUUACAAUAUUCCUGUCAGCUCACACUGGACCCUAACACAGCAAACACACUCCUCUCUCUGUCUAAAGGGAACAGAAAGGUGACCUAUACAGACCAAGUCCAACGAUAUCCUGACCAUCCAGACAGAUUCACCAACAACUACUGUCGGGUUCUGUGUAGAGAGGGUCUGUCUGGACGCUGUUACUGGGAGGUGGAGUGGACUGGUAAUGUUUAUACAGCAGUCUCAUAUAAAGACAUCAGCAGAACAGGGAGAGAUAGUGGAUUUGGACACAAUAACAAGUCCUGGAGUUUAAGGUGCUCUAGAGGUGGUUAUUGUUUCAGACACAAUAAUGUUGAGACUAAAGUAUCAGGCCCUCAGUCCUCCAGAGUAGGAGUGUACCUGGAUCACAAGGCAGGUACUCUGUCCUUCUACAGUGUCUCUUACACAAUGACCCUCCUCCACAGAGUCCAGACAACAUUCACUCAGACCCUCUAUCCUGGGUUUUAUCUCUCUGGUAAUUUGUGUAACUCUACUGUUAAGCUGGUUAAACUGUAGUAGGGCCCACAUAGAUACUAGUCAUGCUGGUGUAGUCUAUAGCUGAGCUGGUUAAACUGUAGUAGGGUCCACAUAGAUACUAGUCAUGCUGGUGUAGUCUAUAGCUGAGCUGGUUAAACUGUAGUAGGGUCCACAUAGAUACUAGUCAUGCUGGUGUAGUCUAUAGCUGAGCUGGUUAAACUGUAGUAGGGUCCACAUAGAUACUAGUCAUGCUGGUGUAGUCUAUAGCUGAGCUGGUUAAACUGUAGUAGGGUCCACAUAGAUACUAGUCAUGCUGGUGUAGUCUAUAGCUGAGCUGGUUAAACUGUAGUAGGGUCCACAUAGAUACUAGUCAUGCUGGUGUAGUCUACAGCUGAGCUGGUUAAACUGUAGU